rnacentral:rRNA from 1 species
AGUGAACGCUGGCGGUAGGCCUAACACAUGCAAGUCGAACGGCAGCACAGUAAGAGCUUGCUCUUACGGGUGGCGAGUGGCGGACGGGUGAGGAAUACAUCGGAAUCUACUUUUUCGUGGGGGAUAACGUAGGGAAACUUACGCUAAUACCGCAUACGACCUACGGGUGAAAGCAGGGGAUCUUCGGACCUUGCGCGAUUGAAUGAGCCGAUGUCGGAUUAGCUAGUUGGCGGGGUAAAGGCCCACCAAGGCGACGAUCCGUAGCUGGUCUGAGAGGAUGAUAAGCCACACUGGAACUGAGACACGGUCAAGACUCCUAAGGGAGGCAGCAGUGGGGAAUAUUGGACAAUGGGCGCAAGCCUGAUCCAGCCAUACCGCGUGGGUGAAGAAGGCCUUCGGGUUGUAAAGCCCUUUUGUUGGGAAAGAAAAGCAGCAGGUUAAUACCCCGCUGCUCUGACGGUACCCAAAGAAUAAGCACCGGCUAACUUCGUG